rnacentral:rRNA from 1 species
CCUACGGGGGGCAGCAGUGAGGAAUAUUGGUCAAUGGGCGGAAGCCUGAACCAGCCAAGUCGCGUGAGGGAUUAAGGCCCUAUGGGUCGUAAACCUCUUUUGUCAGGGAGCAAGGUCGUCCACGUGUGGGCGUAUGGAGAGUACCUGAAGAAAAAGCAUCGGCAAACUCCGUGCCAGCAGCCGCGGUAAUACGGAGGAUGCGAUCUUUAUCCGGAUUUAUUGGGUUUAAAGGGUGCGUAGGCGGGACCUUAGGUCAGCGGGAAAAGUGCGGUGCUCAACGCCGUAGAGCCUUUGAAACUGGGGCUCUUGAGUGAGCGAGAAGUAUGCGGAAUGCGUGGUGUAGCGGUGAAAUGCAUAGAUAUCACGCAGAACCCCGAUUGCGAAGGCAGCAUACCGGCGUUCAACUGACGCUGAGGCACGAAAGUGCGGGUAGCGAACAGGAUUAGAUACCCCAGUAGUC